UGGGGAAUAUUGCACAAUGGGCGCAAGCCUGAUGCAGCCAUGCCGCGUGUAUGAAGAAGGCCUUCGGGUUGUAAAGUACUUUCAGUCGGGAGGAAGGUGUCAAGGUUAAUAACCUUGGCAAUUGACGUUACCGACAGAAGAAGCACCGGCUAACUCCGUGCCAGCAGCCGCGGUAAUACGGAGGGUGCAAGCGUUAAUCGGAAUUACUGGGCGUAAAGCGCACGCAGGCGGUUUGUUAAGUCAGAUGUGAAAUCCUCGGGCUCAACCUGGGAGGGUCAUUGGAAACUGGGAGACUUGAGUGCAGAAGAGGAGAGUGGAAUUCCAUGUGUAGCGGUGAAAUGCGUAGAUAUAUGGAGGAACACCAGUGGCGAAGGCGGCUCUCUGGUCUGUAACUGACGCUGAGGCUCGAAAGCGUGGGGAGCAAACAGG
rnacentral:rRNA from 1 species